rnacentral:rRNA from 1 species
GACGAACGCUGGCGGCGUGCUUAACACAUGCAAGUCGAACGGAAAGGCCCUGCUUUUGUGGGGUGCUCGAGUGGCGAACGGGUGAGUAACACGUGAGUAACCUGCCCUUGACUUUGGGAUAACUUCAGGAAACUGGGGCUAAUACCGGAUAGGAGCUCCUGCUGCAUGGUGGGGGUUGGAAAGUUUCGGCGGUUGGGGAUGGACUCGCGGCUUAUCAGCUUGUUGGUGGGGUAGUGGCUUACCAAGGCUUUGACGGGUAGCCGGCCUGAGAGGGUGACCGGCGACAAUGGGACUGAGAUACGGCCCAGACUCCUACGGGAGGCAGCAGUGGGGAAUAUUGCAGAAUAGGCGGAAGCCUGAUGCAACAACGCCGCGUGCGGGAUGACGGCCUUCGGGUUGUAAACCGCUUUCGCCUGUGACGAAGCGUGAGUGACGGUAAUGGGUAAAGAAGCACCGGCUAACUACGUG